UACGUAGGCGGCGAGCGUUGUCCGGAAUUAUUGGGCGUAAAGGGAGCGCAGGUGGGAAUGUAAGUCUUUCUUAAAAGUGCGGGGCUCAACCCCGUGAUGGGAAAGAAACUAUAUUUCUUGAGUGCAGGAGAGGAAAGCGGAAUUCCUAGUGUAGCGGUGAAAUGCGUAGAUAUUAGGAGGAGCACCAGUGGCGAAAGCGGCUUUCUGGACGACAACUGACGCUGAGGCGCGAAAGCCAGGGGAGCAAACGGG
rnacentral:rRNA from 1 species